GUUCCGAGCAGAAAAAAAGGGGAAUAUCCUGAAGACAUAAAGUCAAGCUUCAAUUCUGGUUAAAAGAUGAAAUAAACUGAGCGCUGUACCUACUGUGGUUGAGUGAAGGUCCCAACUUUGUGUGUACUCAGUCAUGGUUCCCAAAGCUGAGCGUGAUAUCAACAACCCAACGAAGCGCGAGCGGCCUCUGCUAUUGUGCCAACGCGAUUCUGUCACACAUAUGGUCCCUUCGAAGACUUAUGUUCACACUACCAGGCCCCCUACAUAUCAUCUACGACGGAUGUCUUUUAAAUGUCCUCCGCAAGUGACAAGCAGUUCAGACGACCAAUGUUGCGUGAACUGCUAUGAUGAUCUUAAGAUGCUGGCAGGCUGUACAUCACAUACAAAGGAACAAACUAAGACUGAUGGUUAACAUAAUGUUCAUUUGAUUAUCACGCCGUGCUAUGUUUUCAUGUAUUCGAUUUAAUAUCUUAUCUGCUUAAAAGAAUUGUGUUAUCAUUUAGACAUCAAGCUUCGUAA